GAGCAAAUCUCAAAAAGACAUCUCAGUUCAGAUUGCAGGCUGCAACUCGCCUGCAUGAAGUCGGAAUUGCUAGUAAUCGUAGGUCAGCAUACUACGGUGAAUACGUUCCCGGGCCUUGUACACACCGCCCGUCAAACCAUGAGAGUUGGCAACACCCGAAGUCGGUAGUCUAACCGCAAGGAGGACGCCGCCGAAGGUGGGGUUGAUGAUUAGGGUUAAGUCGUAACAAGGUACC
rnacentral:rRNA from 1 species